ensembl:lncRNA
UCUCUCUCAAACUCCCUCCCUCUGUCUGUCUGUCUGUCUGUCUCUCUCUCUCUCCCUCUCUCUCUCUCUCCCUCCCUCCUCCCCCUCUCUCUCUCUCUCAAACUCCCUCCCUCUCUCUGUUUGUCUGUCUCUCUCUCGCUCUCGGCUGUCUCUGUCGAUGGAGGCAACCGGAUAAGGACAGCAUGCAGGCUCAUCCCUGAGAAGAGACACGGAGCUGAGAACGCUGGUCUGGUGGCCGACCUGAGUACUGCUGGACCCCCUGACCCCCACGGCUUGACCCCCUGGACCCCCACCUCUGGACCCCCACCCCUGGACCCCCACCUCUGGACCCCCACCUCUGGACCCCAAGGACAGCCCUCUGGCACCAUGGGGAACUGUCUUUCAGAGAUGAAACUGCCAAAAGGAGGCCUUCUGAAGAACCUCCCGGAAGCUGACGCUGGGAAGGAAGAGGAGCGCGGGCCGCCUGCCGACGGCCUGUACGCCGCCGUGGACUUCAGCAAGAAGAGGUCCUCCCGGGCCCCGGCCCCGUGACUCCUCCCCCCCCCCCUGACUCCUCCCCCCGCCCCUCAGAGUGUGUCUACUCCGUCAUUAUCCCGCACAGACCUCCAGCCCCGCCCACCUCGGAGGCUGAGGAAGGGGCCGAUGAUUAUGUCCUCAUGCAGUAGGACCACGAGGUCGACCAACGGCAGUACCGAGCUGGAGCGGACCGGAUGCUCACUGCUGCCGUCGCGGUGAGCCCUGACGGAGGCUCGGGACGUCAUUCUGUGGUUCUACGUUCAUCGCUGCGGAGGAAACGUCACCGCCACCGUAGAAAUGAAGACCUCUCUGUUAGCGGGCUCAUGGAUACCAACAGUCCUGAACACGGCCUCAUACAGUCGUAGUGUAUAUACCAUCCUCAUACUCACACUGUAUACCAUCCUCAUACUCACACUGUAUACCAUCCUCAUACUCACACUGUAUACCAUCCUCAUACUCACACUGUAUACCAUACUCAUACUCACACUGUAUACCAUACUCACACUGUAUACCAUACUCACACUGCAUACCAUACCAUACUCA